AAAGAGCAGCGUCAAACGCAGUUUCCCACCCGCUUCCCACUGUAUUUCCCCAUUUAUCCUUCAUGGAUAAAAUCCAUUUGGUAUGGACCGAAUACCUCUUGUAUGUCUAGCACUGUAUUAGGCCCCUAUGGCUGUUUUUAUUUGUUUUUGAGUGAUUCUUUUUCAAGGAGGGAGUAAGGAAGAUGCUAAAUAAAUACAUCAAUAGAAGGCAAGGUCCAGCUGGAAAAUUAUCACAUGUCCAAUUGGAAAAAUAACACGUGUUCGUACAUAUAGCCACAGAGCUACUGAAACCACACACAUAAAUGCUGAGGGAAAGUGGAAUAAAACAGUUUCUUUAAAUUUUCAACAAAUGGACUGUAACAACAGAUGUUAAAAAGGCAGAAGGAAAACCACAAUCUUAUCCCAUCUCCAGGCUGGCACCGACCUCCAAGGGCAUGAGGGUCAAAGGGCACGUUUAAUAGAAAGGCCACUUUUUCCAACCGGAAUAAAUCUAACCUUUCCUCAAUCAAAGCGAUUCUAAGUUUUCUAACAAUUUAUGGGCAGUAUCCAUUUCUUUUGUUCCUGUCGGAGGAGCAAUGCCUGAUAUUAGAAACCACUUAAAAGUCACGCCCUUCCAGCAGGAACAGUCAUGGACUGUCACUCAUCCAAAAACCAGCAAAGCCAACAAGCCCCUUCCCCAAAUCGUCCAAAGGUGAACCCAAGAGCCAAGCCAGGUUAUUGCUAUAUAAACAUCUGUUAGAGAAGCAAACUUGGCCAAGGAAUGUAUGAGCUUCAAGAGUCACUCCGGACCUGCGUAGCAGGGGUGGGGGCAGGGGAUACACUUAUCUGUUUAUCCAUUAAUUUGUUUAUGUAGAGGGAGGAUUUGGAGAUGGAAAAUAAACAAUGCUUAUACAAUAAAUAUAAGCAGCCAUCACAAAACACAAAAUGACACCCCAGAAUCAACCGCGGUAGGAAAGACAUUUCCUUGUCUCCUGUAGGAUGGGUCAGUUAAGGGGCCGAGGGGGAUCAGAUAGAACUCAAAUUGGUCCUGCUGAGCCUGGAGCCUGAGCACGCAGAGGGGUGAGCUAGGCAGUCGCUGUCGGAGCCCCGAUCAUCCCUUCCAGCCUGGACCAUUCUGAGACGGAGGUUUGGAGUUACAGGUGUGUGAGCGCCAGAGGGUGAGAGGGGUCUCUCGCUCGGAAUGUAAGAGCUCCCGCCUGCUGGGAAUGGGGAGGAGUCGUCGAUGGCCCCAGGAUCCGUGCCCAGACAUUUCCAGAGGCGCACCGGCUGGUUCAGCACCCCACCGUCAUCCGCGCAGAAGCUGCAUCCCUCGAGGUCCUGGAGCGAAGCCAUUUCCUUAAAGCGCGCGCAGAGCCAGGAUAGAGUUUCCUACGAAGGACCGUCCCCCUGAGGUUCCUCCAUUAACAGCGCCCCCGGCCUUGCCCACCGCAGCGGCCCCACCAAAGCGCUAACACAUUUCAAAAUGGAGCGAAAUCGCAGAAGCGCGGAGUGCGCUUUGUUCCCAGCAUUAGGCUAAAUGCGCUCAUCCCCACAGGGCUCCCUUUCCUCCAAAGGCAGGAGGUGACAUCUCUGCUCGCGAGAUGGCAAUACGUAGCCGUGGCCGCGGGCUCCCCUUUUCCGGGGCCACCCCGAGACCCUCGCUCCAUCUGGAAGGGGAACCCCGCGCCCAGCUCUGUCUGGGGGCGAGGGAGGAGAGACGAUGCUUGAAUCGAUCCCUGAGCCACUCUGCAACCCCUCGCGGCGGGCCCAGCCAUGCGAGGAGCCUCGCAGUACCCAGGCUCCAGCCCUUUACGCCACCGUCAAGGAGGGUCGGCCUGGUCCCGGGCGGGCAGCCAAGACAUUCCCCAGAAAUUCAGAUCAACCUGGGCGACCCGCGUGGAGGAUUCAGCUCCUAGAUGCUCUUCCGUCUCAGAAGUGCGCCCCCCGCACCAGUUUUCAGCGAUAGAAUUAACCAGAAAACCGUGCGUACCAGGUUCAUCACAGGAGGGCGAGGCUCGGAUUCGUUGGCCAGGAGUUCCCCCUGCCGCCCCAGACUCGGUUUUGGGGGCGCGGUGAACUUGGACACGGGUGAAAUUUAUUUAAGAUAAAUAAUAUUAAUCAGUACGGACAUAAUAUUAAUAAAAAUACACCCAGGGCCGCCUAUCUGCGUGUCUGCGGCCCCCAGGGGCCAAUCAGAAACAGCCUCAGGCGCGGGGGUUCGGGGCUUCCUCCCGUGUCCUCCAGGAGGCCGACUGGGCGCGGCUCCCCCUACCCCAGGGUCCCCAAUCUCCGCAGGGAAGGGGUGAGGCCAGCCCCAAGAUCCCCUCUCCGGACGCCUGUGGUUUCCAUGGCAAUCCCCCCUCUGCGCCCAGUCCCGUGGGCUCAGAAAGAUGGGUGUGGCCGAAGCACCAGUAACCUUAUGCCCCUUCCUCACAUUCUCCAGCCAGGCGAAGCAACAGGGCGUAAAGCCGGAGAGGCCCCGCCAGGGCUCCCCACCCGGGGAGCCAGCGUCCCUCGCUGGGCAACCUGGUGUGGCGUGGCCCACAGGACACUUGGGGUGUAGGGAGGGGCGAGAUCCCUCUGCCGCCGCCCGCAGCGCGCACGGAGACUCGAAUCCUAUCCCUUCAGAAGCUUCCCGGCGCCGGCAGACUCCGAGACGAGGCUGCGCGCGGUCACGCCCGUUCCAUGCGUGCCGGGGGUCGGGGGGUUGACUCGAGUUCAUCGACCCCAGCAAGCCUCGAGAUCCAACAAUGGGCUCGGAAAUGAGGAGCGAAAAAGGAAAGAGAGGCGCAUGGGCGUAGGGGGGAGGUUGGCUAAACACCCUCAGAAUAAAAGCCAGAAACCAGGGCUGGGAGCGCAGAUCACGUAACCUCUACAGACAAAGCAAAGAGCCCCCGAAGAAGGUGCUGGGCGAACGCCCCCAGUGCUCACGCCCGCAGCAGCAAAACGCCAAGAUUUCAGCGCUGAUUGUCCCCCUCCCUUUAAUGCCAGGCCCCGCCCUGUCCUACGAAGCCCGGCCACCCGGUUUGGCAUGGCACCGUAAAGACGUGACACGCCGAAAAAAGAUGGCACCUCGCGUUCCGAGGGGGAAAAAUGGGGGGGGGUGGGGGCGGGAGUGGGAGGAGGCACAGCCUAUCCUCCCCCCUCCUCGCCCACCAGGGUCCACACCCACUGCCGCAGUGAGGGGCGAGCCCUGCGCGCCAGCCCCGCGCCUCCGGCAGGGAGCGCACACGCCGGGCGCCCUGCGCUCCGAGCGCUGAGAAAGAAAUCCGCCCCGAGAUGCACCUGCAGCCCCGCGCCCAUCCGUGCAUGGCUGCGGCUGUGCGUGCCCGCGAACGGGGACCAGCGGCCGCCGAGUCCGUCCACAUCGCCAGGCCAGGAGUCAGAACAAGGACGGGCCUGUGAUGUGUCUGUCUAUGACGACAAGGACAAUGUCCUGAGGAACGGAGAGGAAGAAAGUGAAGGGAACCAGGUCCCCGGAUUCCAUGUGGAACAGUAGCCCAGGAUGCGCACUAUGGACUGUUACAAGAGAGAGACAUGAUCUUCCUUAAGGCAUUGAUUUGUCAUGGGUCUCUUUGUUAUAGCCACUUAACGUUACCUUAAUACACCCACUUCAUGGAUAAGUAAAACUGAGGCUUGGAGAAGCCCACAUUGACACAGCAAAGAAGGCUGGGGCUCUUGUGCUGGUUAAAUGGACCUUGAUGUCUUCCAAAUGUUUUCCUGCUGGAUUCUGAGCCACUCUCCUGGCUGCAACUCUGAGGCUGGGCAGACUUUCCGCUGGAAAGAGAACUCAAAUACUGGUGAGAGGUGGAUUUGAAGCCAGGAGCCCCAGGUUUUGGCUCUGCAGGUUUGCACCCAGCUCUGUGGUGUAUGCCCUCACAGGUCACCCAGGACCUCCUGUCCAGGCUUCUUCAGGCCACCCAUGAUGGAGUGGAUUUGAGGAAUGAGGUUUUCAAAGCAGUUAGUGUGCAGGAGAGUAACCCUGGGGCCUCCGGAACCAGAAGGGAGGGAUUUGGGGGCUGGAGCUUGGCAGUCCAGGUUCCAUUGUCCUCAUGUUCUCCCCACUGGCCUGGCCUGUCACUCCAGUCUCUGCAUAGGUUGUCACAUGGCAUUCUCCCUGUGUGUCUCUGUGUCUCUUCUCUUCUUUAUAAAGACAUAGUUAUAAUGGAUUAGGGCCCACCCUAA